rnacentral:rRNA from 1 species
GACGAACGCUGGCGGCGUGCUUAACACAUGCAAGUCGAACGGUAAGGCCCUUCGGGGUACACGAGUGGCGAACGGGUGAGUAACACGUGGGUGAUCUGCCCUGCACUUCGGGAUAAGCCUGGGAAACUGGGUCUAAUACCGGAUAGGACCCUGGGAUGCAUGUCCUGGGGUGGAAAGCUUUUGCGGUGUGGGAUGGGCCCGCGGCCUAUCAGCUUGUUGGUGGGGUGAUGGCCUACCAAGGCGACGACGGGUAGCCGGCCUGGGAGGGUGGCCGGCCACACUGGGACUGAGAUACGGCCCAGACUCCUACGGGAGGCAGCGGUGGGGAAUAUUGCACAAUGGGCGCACGCCUGAUGCAGCGACGCCGCGUGAGGGAUGACGGCCUUCGGGUUGUAAACCUCUUUCAGCACCGACGAAGCGCAAGUGACGGUAGGUGCAGAAGAAGGACCGGCCAACUACGUGCCAGCCGCCGCGGUAA